CUAGUUACUAGUGACUAGUACCUAAAAAUUACCCUCAAGAAAAAAAAAAAAAUUUUGGCUUUUGUCCGAUUGGCACACAUUCAUUGCAACCAUUUCGCGUCGUUUAAGGAUUAAUCUAAAUCUCAUUUCCACCAGUUAACCAUCACUUUAAUUUCUGUUGUUAAAUUAAGAUAUUUAAUCAGACGAAGAGCUUUUUGCUCGAAUCCCCUUUAACAUCUGCAUUUUCCGAAUUCGUAAACUUAAUGUUUUUCGUUGGUAUAAAUUACAACUGUUUUUCUUGAACUUUGUUUUUAUUAUUAUUUAUUGUGUUUUUUUGACAUCGUUUUAACGAAUCUAAUAAAUUAUUGGAACUGUCAAAUUAGAAAGUAACAAGAAACACCGAUUCUAUUUACUAUUGAUCCAGGAGGUUAUUAGGCGGAGGUAAAGAAUGCGCACACCAUCCGAUCUAAUCGACUGACUCCCUCCCCAAAUAAUUUCGAGCCGUAUGCCUAGAGUAGAAAAGAAUAUAUUGAUAUGGAUAUCUCGAAAUUUAUCGUCUGAAACAGAAUUUAAAAAAAAUAUUUUUCAAAAACUUAGAUGAUACUUCAAUUUAUUUCGGUUUGAAACAUUCUCUAAAAAUAUGAGUCAUUUGUGCAAAGAAAUUUCGGAAACAAUUCUAGCUUUCCAACCAUGGUCAUUCUGUCCCUUAACCAUUAACUCUAAAUCUGAGAUUUAAAUAAUAAGAGGGCUUUCCAAUUAUAGACUGUUAAUUUUUAUAUUUACAGCAGGAUUAGUAAAUUAACCAUUACUUAAAUGAAAUAGGUGUCAUUGUUAAUCAGUGGACUUUUGGAAUAGCUAUCACUACCUCAUGGGGAAGGAAAAGAGAAAAGAAUUGGAUGGUUAUCCGUUCGUCCAUUCCUGGUGAAAUUGUGGGGGUAGAAUCUUCAAGCAUCUCCCGUAUAAGAGUCUGUCAGAAGCAAUUGUCAUGGCACAUGGUUCAUUGUUUAAUGAUAAAGUGAUGGUAUGUUGUCAACUGAUAGUACCAUGAAAGGGAAUAAUACUACUGCUAUUUAGCCCUAGGAAGCACCGCUUCCUGUCAACCAUGACACAUUUCCUGUGUCUUAAAUAGCAGUAGUAUUUUUGCCUUUCAUGGGACUGUCACAUUAAGUUGACAACAUACCACCAUUUUAUCGUGUUACAACUGUAUAAAUCUCUCUCAGAGAUUUAGAAAUGUAUUAUUCCCAUUGUUUAAUGGUCUAGCAACUAAUGCUUUAGGAUUAAAAAAACUAAUAGUUGUCUAUAACUGGGGAGUACCAUAAUACAUAUGAUAAAUUGGACCAAAUUAUAUUGAAUAUUACUAAAUGUGCCAAACCAAAAUAAAUUAGAAUGUGUUCAAUUUAGAAAAUUACUAUUUUUGAAUCUCACAACGAGAGAUAUUCAGCCAUAUUAUAUUGGUAAAAGUAUGGUUAUACUUUUACCAAUAUAAUAUGGCAGUCCUGGUUUAGAACGAAUGUUGCUGUAAUUUGGCAGCGCUACCUCUAGCCGAACAGUGAUGGCCACCUAUCCAUGCCCUUUAAGUUACAAAUUAUGUUCCAAUUUAAGUUCUUUAUGGAACAAUUGAGCCUGUUCCAUUAUGAAGCUACUUGACAAAUUCCAUUCCAUGAAUUUGACAUUAUCAAAACCAUUCUAUUAUUCUUGAAUUACACUGGUACUCUUACCAUAUUCCAUUGUUUUUCUAAUGGUCAUUCAAAAUAACUGUCAGGAAUAAAUUGGAAUUUCUCUCUUUUUUCUCCUGGUGUUUUUUCCUUUGUCAUCAGAAAAUGUACAGACAAAAAUAAAUGCAAAAUGAUAUAAUUCCUAUCAAAUACCAUUUUAUACAUGCUUGUUUUCAUUUCCCAGACAAAACGAAACUGUGAAUUUAACUUUCACUUUAAGACAUCAGUGAGACUCACAUCUCUCUUAGAAACCGUACCCGGGAUGAAAUUUAAGUAAAAUAAGCCAAGGAGGUCACAAAAUCAAGAGAUAUCACUUGCACAAGUGUUGUAUGAAAAGACUUAAAAAAGCACAGCUGUACUCACUGCCACCUGGUGGGAUAUCCACUAAAUAGGUCAGCUUGCUUACAAGAAUUUCAAGUUCUUGCUUGUAAUUUGUAUAGCCUAAUAGAAGUACAGUGAUACGUCACAGUACGAGUUUCAUUCAUUCUAUGACCGAGCUCGUCUUACAAUUCACUUGUUUUACAAAUCAAAUUUCCCUUUGAAAUUAACUAAAAUAUAAUUAAUCAUUCCAGCCCCCCCCCCUCCAAAAAAAAACCACUCAAAAAUAACUUUUAAUGGGUUUUAAAACAGAAAAGGUGUAGACAGAAGUAAAAUGACAAUUAUAAAAAGAAAAAGAAAAGAGAAUGCAAAACAAUAUGUAAACUGAAUUACCUUAAAGGUGGGAUGAUUUGUGUGCUCAUACUUCAAGACAAAAAAUUUGCAUGCUUCUUGGAUCGUACAGCAAAUUACUGGUACAAUGGGUCACUUGUACAGCAAGACUCAACAGUGCUGAGUCAUUUGGUGUUGAACCUGUAUCGUUUAUCAAGUUAUGAUUUUUGUCUCCCCAAUUUGUAAGAUGUUAAAAGCAGUCUUACUCACAGAAUAUGAUCUACAUAUCUAGGGUGUAUGGCUACAAAAUGCUUAUCGGGUUACUUUGUAAUAUAGUGAGGGUAUUUACUCUUUGUCUUCAACUCAUUGUGUGGUUAAGUAGCUUGUUUGCAAUCACAUGGCAUUGAGUUCAGUCCUGCUGUGUGACACCUUGGACAAGUGUCUCCUGCUUUUAGCCCUGGGCUGACCAAUGCCCUGGGCUGACCAAUGCCCUGGGAGUGAAUUUGGUUGGUGAAAGCCCAUUCUACAUACUGUUCAUACAUACAUGUAUAUAUAUAUUUGUAUAUGUAUCUUAUGGUUGUGUUUAUCCUCCUACCCUUUGACAACUGGUGUUGGUUCAUUUACAUCCCAAUAACUUAGUGGUUCAAGGAAAGACACCAGUAGGACAAAUACUAGAUUUAACCCCAUUAGUCACGGAUAAAAAAGUAAAACUAUUUAAAAAAAAAAUUUUUUAUUUAUGCCAAAAUACAAGUUAGGGUUGACCUGGCGUUAAACAACACAUCCAAUCAGUUCAUCUAAAUAAAUGCUCGACCUACUAGUAAUAGCAGCCAAAUUUUCAUCAUGUCACACCCAAUUAUAUUUUUGGAAAAUGUACAUAUGUGAUAAUGUUGCUGUUGGUUUACUUCAUGUCCAGAAAAAGUCAUGAUGGUCAUGGCUGGAAUGCUUUUGAUCAUAGAACUGUAGAAUCAGAACUGACAUAGGUCUAAGUGUGAGGAACUGUUAUCAUAUAAGAUUUAAGACAUCACCACAACGACAAUCGCAACAUCAAGUGUGUCACCAUUUUCAUUUGGAAUUCUCAAAUCUUUCUGAUUUCAUGUUGACACUGGAGAUAAAAUAAAUUAAAAAAGAAAAUAUAAAAUUACAACUGCAUGGAAAAUUAAAAAACAAAAGAAAAGAAAAGAAAAAUAACAAAAGAAAACAAAGAAGGUUGUUUUAAUUUUUUAACAUUUAACCUUGCCAUAUCUGGCACAAAUGUUUGUUUUGUAUUCAAACCUGCUAGAUCUGGCUUCUCGCACCUACUCUACAAUGUCAUUCUAAAAAUAAAACAAAUCAUUGAAAUCUUGAAGUUACAAGAUAAUCCAUGAUUAAUUCAAAAUUUAAUAAAUAAAACUUACGUUUGACAGAGUAAAUCUGAAAAUGAAAGAAUUAUAAUUAAUUUUUUUGGAAAAAAAAAACAAAUAGAAAACUUCAUUGUUUACGACACAUUGUCUUGGAUCCAAUCUCUUUCCCUUCAUGCACACCUGUGAAAUACCUUGAUUAUUUUAAGGAGAAUAUUAAGGACAGCAUGGACAGAGAAAAUGUGGUAAAUAAGAAACUGGUUGAAGGGAAAAGAAGCAGAUGAUGGAGAAGGGAGAUCCGGGUGUCAAGUUUAAUGAACUGGUUUGGAAGAAAGAAGUAUCAAACAUCAGGAAGUGGCACCAUUACUGAAAACAAAGAAUAGAGAAUUAUGGCAGGACAUGAUUGCCCUCUGUCCAACAUUCUGGACAUGGCACCCAAAGAAGAAGAUUUGUAAAUAACAAAACAAGUAGCAAAAGAGAGGAUUUGACAAUGAAAACACAAGAAUUUCUGCUGCAGAAUAAGAAAAUUGACCAAUUUUUAAUGGCUGUUUUGAAGACAAGAAAGACCAAAGGAAAAGAAUAACCAACAAGAUGUGUAGCAUAGUAAAGGCAUCAACACUAAAAAGAACAUUAACAACAACAGCUACAGCAACAACAAUAUAAAGAAAGUUUGGUAUGCUUUAGGUUGGGUGGCCACCACUGGACCACAUGGCGAACCACAAAGAAAUAAAGCAUAUGCUUGCGAAGACCUGUUGAGCCCCUGAAAAAGAGAAACCUCAAUAAAAUUGCUGAAUGCUGUGAAGAACUUUCUUGGCAAAUGACAACAGACAUGGAUAAGGAAUGCUUUCAUAGUUGACUCUUUCAUAUGUGGCAUGAAAUACUUCCCUGAAAUUCUUCAGAUUGUCUGUGAAUUUCAUAAGAACUCUUUAAAAAAUGCCUCAAUUAUGCCAACAUCAAGUAAAUUUAUGGCAACUUUUUGAAUAUGGAUGAAACUCUUCAUGUUUUCCAGUGAAUUGUGUCACUGAAAAUGUUUCCUUAUCCAAAAGAAGUUUGUUUGGCAAAGAUUCAUGAACACAUUUGAAACCCUGAUCUCUUCUAUUACUUCUACAAUAACCUCUCUUCCAGUCAGCUCUACAUCUCCACUGCCAUCACUUAGAAUCCCCUCACUCAACCAUUUCCUCUUUCUCUUUCAUCAUUCCUAACAUAUCUUGCUUACCAGAUAUCAUAUCACAACCUCCUAAGCAUCAGCGCCCUGCCCCCUUUCGUCACGUCUAGCAUCAUCCAUUCCUUCAUUGAUGGUAGCAGCCCUUUAUUUGUCUCUAACCGUUUGUACCUAGUAUCAUCUGUGAGUCAUGCUGAUACCUGCUUCAUACCAAAUAUCCACCGGUACCUAUUUACAUGCCAAAUAUAAACAGCUUCUUUGAUGGUUUUCUCUUUGCAAACCUUGUGCAUUGUGGUUACAAUAAAUAAAUAAAUAAAUAAAUAAAUAAAACAGCCAAAAACAAAUGCUGCAUACAUAUCAGUGGCUGUCAGCCAUUCCCCCCCCCCCCCUAUGAUGGACCCCGUUUGGUUCCUAUUUUACUUCUCUGGACCCUUAUACACAUUGAAUGUUUUUAAAAAAGAUCCUCUUAUAUUUUCAUAAUUAAAUAUUAGAAAUUGUAUAAAAUAACUGUUAAAAUAUUUUGUAAAAUAUUUACAAUGGACAAAUAGGUGACAUCACCUUGUUUGUUUUUACCACAACGUUUCAGCUGGUGUACUCCCCGGCCUUCAUCAGGUGUUCUGGUGGAAUUUCAAACCCAACCCUUUAGUUGACUAAUGGGUACUCUGUUCUCAUUCAUAAGGUAUUCUUUUUUUUUUUGUUGAUGUUAGUAUUAUUAUUAGUGGAGGCACAAUGGCUCAGUGGUUAGGGUAGCGGAUUCGCGGUCAUAGGAUCACGGUUUCGAUUCCCAGACCGGGCGGUGUGUGUGUUUAUUGAGCGAAAGCACCUGAAGCUCCACGAGGCUCCGGCAGGGGAUGAUGGCGAACCCUGCUGUACUCACCACAACUUUCUCUCACUCUUACUUCCUGUUUCUGUUGUGCCUGUAAUUCAAAGGGUCAGCCUUGUCACGCUGAAUAUCCCCGAGAACUAC